CUGGACCAUCUGAGGAUUGUUGAAGGAGUUACAGCCCUCGCAGCACACGGGCCAACUCAGGCCCUUAGCGUUGAUGAGCAAACUCUCACCUGUGCCCCUUUCACGGAUGAAACAGCUGAUGCUCAGAGAGCCUGAGGGGGACCCAGUCAAGGCGCUGGAGCUUCUGAGACUCUGGUCUUUGGCAGAAUGAGAGCAGUGUGACCCUGGGCCCAUCCCCUACUCUGUGAGCAGAGUUCUCAGAACUUAGUGAGAAAAAUGGAAGUGCUGGCCCUGUCCUGGCUCCUGGAAGCUGCUCAGCUUCAUGACCUGGGCACCGUGUUAUCCCUAUUUCAUAGAUGAAGAACCACAGUUUUAAGGAGGUUAAGCAACUCACCCAAAGUCAUACAGUAAGUGGCGGAGCCCAGAUUUCAGCCCAGGGCAUCCAUCUCCAGAGCUGGACCUAUUGACCCAAAGCUCUUAAUGAUGAGAGAGGAACUUACAGACACCAAGGAAGACGCCCCCUACCCUACCCUGUUGCCUGCCUGUACCCUGGUCACACUCUACCUCCCAGUGUCCCACCCCUUCCUAGAGAUAGGAGGUAGAAUUUUCAUAUAUAUUUUUCAUAUACGUAGAAAUGAAUUUUUUCUCCUGAAUAUGAUCGUUCUGUUGUAUUGUUCUGUAGUUUGCUUUUCUUUUUUCUCAUUUGAUGCUGGCAUAUGUAGAUCUAUUUCUUUUUUUUAAAUUUCUACCUAAUAUUCCAUGGGAUGGGUUCACUGUAAUUCUCCUGUUGAUGGAUAAUGUGGGUU